rnacentral:lncRNA from 1 species
UCGAGGGAGUGUUAGUUAGUGGUGACGCACGACGCCACGGGGUAUUAUUUAGCCUGCAGAGGUGCUUCUCUACACAUGAAAUCGAAUGCAGGUACCAGACCAGUCAUCACGACGUUGAUAACAUAACAUGUGGUGCCCAGUUUGGCCGAUCACAGUAUCACGGUGUGUAUAUAUAUAUAUAUAAUGAAGCUCCCACUCUGAUUCGUAGCCAGCCUCUUGAAUCUACAGGCUUACUGCAUCGGGGA